UACGAAGGGGGCUAGCGUUGUUCGGAAUUACUGGGCGUAAAGCGCACGUAGGCGGAUAUUUAAGUCAGGGGUGAAAUCCCAGAGCUCAACUCUGGAACUGCCUUUGAUACUGGGUAUCUUGAGUAUGUAAGAGGUAAGUGGAAUUCCGAGUGUAGAGGUGAAAUUCGUAGAUAUUCGGAGGAACACCAGUGGCGAAGGCGGCUUACUGGUCCAUUACUGACGCUGAGGUGCGAAAGCGUGGGGAGCAAACAGG
rnacentral:rRNA from 1 species